rnacentral:piRNA from 1 species
UAGACUGGCUCGUUAGGAACCCGUGC